GCUGAGCUCAGUAGCGAGAGCUUGUAACCCGAGUGGGGGCUUUAAGGGUGGUGUGGACGUUGCCGUAGCGCUGCGGGCCUGGUCUGGGUGUGCUACUGAUGGCCCGCCCGUUCCAAGUUGCGUAGUGGGCCGUUGGAGCUUAAGCGAAAGCUAGGCUUCGCGGCCCAUAAUGUUGGCAGGCACAGCGUGAGGCUGGCUUCACAGAGCAGCGACAACUGCCCGCUUCCAACGGUGGAAGGAUAACGGGCCGCUGCACUCCUUGGCCGCUUGGGCCUCGCAGCCUACUCCAGCGAACCACCACUUUU
rnacentral:SRP_RNA from 1 species